rnacentral:tmRNA from 1 species
GGGGGCGAACUGGAUUCGACCGGACGAGUUGAGGCGUCGGUGGCGUGCCCAGGUUCCAAGGAGGCCUGGUAAAACACCUUGGAAAACCUUUACUUGCCAAUCAACCGAUGGCAAUGGCUGCCUAAUUAGGCAUCCCGUCCUGUGGGCCUUGCCCGCGAGGUCCUCCAGGACGACAAGCAGCGGGCUUGCUGGCCGAAAGUUGCCAGGUUAAUCGGCCGGGACUACCCGUCAGGCUGGCUGGUCCGGACCGUGUCGCAGGCGGGCCGGAUCGGCGAGAUGCAAAACCGCGACUAUGCACGUAGAAGCCGGCGUUGAAACGUCACGGGACGCGGG